GGGGCCUACGGGAGGCAGCAGUGGGGAAUCUUGCACAAUGGGCGAAAGCCUGAUGCAGCGAUGCCGCGUGAGUGAAGAAGGCCUUUGGGUUGUAAAGCUCUUUUGUCGGGAAAGAUAAUGACUGUACCCGAAGAAUAAGGUCCGGCUAACUUCGUGCCAGCAGCCGCGGUAAUACGAAGGGACCUAGCGUAGUUCGGAAUUACUGGGCGUAAAGAGUAUGUAGGCGGCUAGAUAAGUUAAUUGUGAAAGCCCAAAGCUUAACUUUGGAAUUGCAAUUAAAACUAUUUAGCUGGAGUAUGAUAGAGGAAAGCGGAAUACAUAGUGUAGAGGUGAAAUUCGUAGAUAUUAUGUAGAACACCAGUUGCGAAGGCGGCUUUCUGGAUCAUUACUGACGCUGAGAUACGAAAGUAUGGGUAGCGAAGAGGAUUAGAUACCCUCGUAGUCCAUACCAUAAACGAUGAUUAUUAGAUGUGGGGAAUUAUUUCUCUGUACCAUAGCUAACGCGUUAAAUAAUCCGCCUGGGGAGUGCGACCGCAAGGUUAAAACUCAAAGGAAUUGACGGGG
rnacentral:rRNA from 1 species